UUACGGCUCAGUAACACGUAGCUAACCUGCCCUUAAGUCGAGGAUACUCUCGGGAAACUGAGGUUAAUACUCGAUAGGAGAUGUACCCUGGAAUGAUUCAUCUCUCAAAUUCGAGCUUAAGGAUGGGGCUGCGGCGGAUUAGGUUGUUGGCGGGGUAAUGGCCCACCAAGCCAAUGAUCCGUAAGGGCUCUUAGCGGAGAGGCCCUGAGAGGGAAUCUUAGACACUAUUCCCAGCCCUACGGGGUGCAGCAGUUAGGAAUCUUCUUCAAUGCGCGCAAGCGUGAAAGAUUGAGCCAGAGUGCUUUUCAAUUGAAAGGCUUUUGCCAAAUGUAAAAAGUUUGGCGAAUAAGGACUGGGUAAGACGAGUGCCAGCCGCCGCGGUAAUACUCGCGGUCCAAGUCGCAGCCAUCUUUAUUGGGUAUAAAACAUCCGUAGCUUGCUUGAUAAGUUUCUUGUGAAAUUUCAUAUCUUAAAUAUGAAGCGCGCAAGAAGUACUGUUGAGCUAGAGACUGGAAGACGUAAGAAGUACGUUUGGAGUAGCGGUAAAAUGUGUUAAUCCCAGACGGACUAACAACAGCGAAGGCAUCUUACGAGGACAGUUCUGACAGUAAGGGAUGAAGGCUAGGGGCGCAAAACGGAUUAGAUACCCGUGUAGUCCUAGCAGUAAACACUGCACACUAAACAUUAGUACCUCCUCGAGAGGUAUUAGUGCUGAAGAGAAGUCGAAGAGUGUGCUACCUGGGAAGUAUAGUCGCAAGGCCGAAACUUAAAGGAAUUGGCGGGGGAGCACAAUC
rnacentral:rRNA from 1 species